UAAAAGAAAUCAUUUUUAGUACUGCCUGCUCAAUGAAUUCAAUAGCCGCAGACCCCUGUGCUAAGGUAGCAUAAUCAUUUGCCUAAUAAUUAUAGGAUAGAAUGAAAGGUGAUACACGUUUCCUUCUUUACAAAAAGGUUAUUUUAAAUUAAGAUUUAAGUAAAAUCCCUUAAAUGAAAAGGGGGACGACAAGACCCUGUCGAACUUUACACUAACGUUUAGCUGGGGCGGCAAAAAAUUACACCUUUUAUCUACCACUUACAAAAAAACCUUUCUAUAAGAUAAACAAGUUACCGCAGGGAUAACAGCAUAAUUUUUUCCAAGAGACCUUAUUCAAGAAAAUGAUUGUGACCUCGAUGUUGAAUUAAAAUUCUUUUAUGAAGCAAAAUUCUAAAAAGAAGGUCUGUUCGACCUUUAAAUAUUU
rnacentral:rRNA from 1 species